rnacentral:rRNA from 1 species
CCCUUAGAUGUUCUGGGCUGCACGCGCGCUACACUGAUGCAUUCAACGAGCUUUCGAUCUUGCCCGAGAGGGUUGGAUAAUCUUUUUAAAGUGCAUCGUGAUGGGGAUAGAUUAUUGCAAUUAUUAAUCUUCAACGAGGAAUGCCUAGUAGGCGCAAGUCAUCAGCUUGCGUCGAUUACGUCCCUGCCCUUUGUACACACCGCCCGUCGCUCCUACCGAUUGGGUGUGCUGGUGAAAUGUUCGGAUCGGCCGUUUGUCGCGGUUUCCGCGUCAUGUGGCUGAGAAGUUCAUUAAACCCUCCCACCUAGAGGAAGGAGAAGUCGUAACA